rnacentral:misc_RNA from 1 species
GUACAAGCAGGCGUGAACACACAGAAACAGGAAACCAAUGGAGAGCAACGGUCAAGAGGAGAGGACGAAAACAGCAAGCAAGGACCAAGUAAUUGCGAAACUCAAGGACGACGGCGACUUCGAUAAUCUUCGUCUCAAGAUAAUCCGCAAGCUUAAGGACAAUGAAGAAUUACGCAAUAGCAUUAUUUCCAUUGUGAGGCAGUCAGCAGCUCUUAACCGUGCAGGGGCUGAAAACAUGAAACCCAGGCAACUUUCGGAUGCCAUAUAUAAUGAGGUUGGGAAUGAAAUGAUGAGUAAGCUUUCUGAUGGCGUGUGGGAAAUAAUUAGAUCAGGUGAUGGCAUGAAAAAUGAAAUAACAGAGACUGUACAGUCUGUCUAUAAUAAGUUGGUGGAGCCUAAAAGGAACGAGGUGGGUGAAUCUUCUACUCAUGGAGUGGCGCUGGUUCAGAAUGAAGCUGACAAUAAGGUCCUUGUCAAGGACUCAACUGUUGCAGUGGAUGAUAACUUGUCUGAUGGUGAACUCCAAGAACCACCAGGAUUCUCUCUGUCCAUUAAUCAUCAGAACAACCAUGAACUCAAAGAGGAGUUGGAGCUGCCUAUGCAUUGCCAAGGGACUGUGGAAGAACGGAAGGAAGGGGU